AUUGAGUUUUGAAAAACUAAGGCAGGAAGGCUGGCUUUUGUUCAUUGAAAGUGCUUUUUGAAAAGACUGAUAAAACCUAUCCAUAGUUCUUACAUUUUCAAAAUCGCAACGAAACUUCAAAAUAGGAUACUCAUUAAAAAAUGAAGGAGAAGAUGCAUACUUGGAAAUUAAAAAAAUAGUAUUCUCCUCAACCAUACUUCUUGUCAACUCAACCGCUUCAUUCAUA